GAAAGAAUUCUCAGAGCAGCCAGGGAAAGGAAGAUGGUAACCUAUAAAAGAAAACCCAUUAGAUCGUCGUCGGACUUCUCAGCACAAACCUUCCGAGCCAGAAAGAAAUGGAAUCAAAUAUUCAAAUGGUUAAGUGAAAGGAACCACCAGCCGAGAAUAAUGUACCCGGCUAAACUGUGGAUUUGGAGGGGAAAUAAAGACCUUUCCAGACAUACAAAAAUUGAGAGAAUUUUCCAGUACAAGGCUUGCAUUACAAGAAAUACUGAAAUACUGAAAGCAGUGCAACUCUUACUAACAACUGGGCGUUAUACGCUUAAACAAUGAGAUUUGCUAUAGCAAGAAAGUAAUGAACGUUCCGCAUACAUAGGGACAAAUUGAGACAACGACUGAAAAGGGGAUUCAAAGAUCCAAAUUCACAAAGGGGAAUGGAGGCAAGGCACGUGCAGAAGAAAAUGGACGACUAUAUAACAUCUUGGACCAUUCACAAAAAUGAACUCAAAAUGGUUUAAAAACUUAAAUGUAAGACCCGAAACCAUAAAAUUCCUGGAAGAAAACAUAGGGAAAAUCUCGACAUUAUUCUUGGCAAUGUUUUUUGGAUGUGAUACCAAAAGCAUGGGCAAUAAAUGAAAAAAAAAAAAAAAGUAAAUGAGUGAGACUAUAUCAAACUAAAAAUCUUUUGCACCGCAAAGGAAACAAUAUGAAGUGGCAAGCCCUAGAAUGGGAGGAAGUAUUUGCAAAUCUAUAUAUCAGAGAGGGGGUUAAUAUCCAAAAUAUACAAAAAAACUCAUACAGCUUAAAUAGAAAAAAAAAAUGAUCUGAAUAAAAAAUCAGGAAAGGAUCUAAAUCAGGCCAGCCCAGAAGCUACCCGUCCCAGCAUCCUUCUGAGUCCACAGAAUCGAGAGGAACAAGAUGAGAGGGAAUAUAUAACCGUGAGGAGAAUUGAGGGCUGAGGCAAGAUUGGAAUUGUGAAUAUUUUCUAAUUCCUUUUUUCAUGUAGUUACUUCGGGAUUUAAGGAUCCCAGAUAUGUUUCCCUGAAACACUUGGUUUCAGUGGCCUAAAAAAUAUAGGAGAAAGUGCAUUAGAAUAGCAUUGAUAUCACGAAGGUAGUCUAAACCUUAGGAAAUGUCACAAUUUAAGCUUUAGCUAAGACCUCUACUCUAACUACACACGUGACUGACAACAGAUGGGUUCCUUGCAGUGUUUUACAUAAGAAUGGCCAUACAUCAAGGUUCAAAUGGGCACACAAUUUUCUACCAUUAUCUUAUCCUUGAGGCUGACAACAGCAAAAUAAAGAAAAAGUAAUGAUGCAAAUGAAUAGAACAAGAGGCGUCCCAUGCUGAGUUCUUGUAGAAAGCUAAAGAUAAUAUUAGAAUGUAUAGAGAAACUAUACCUUUGGAAAGGGAUUCGGAUCUCUAAAUUGUCUUUUCCUUUGUUGUGCAGCACGAGCCUUCUACAGUGUUCCAUAUAACGUUUCAUACCGUUCACCAAUGCUUCACAGACAAGUUUCAGGUUUUUUUUUUUUUUUAUUUACUGAUUUGGGGGCUGGCAUCCAGCUAGUGUAUUUGUCCUCAUGGACGGGGACCAAAAAAGAUAAACGUUUUGAUAAACACCGAGUUUUUUUUUUUUUAGAGGAGUCAGGACUUUAGCUGAAUCUAAAGGAAGAGGAAGGACUUUCAGGAUGGAGAAUAGCAUCCCGACCGACUCCUUUAGGAAGACACUUUCUGUUACAGAAUUAAACAAGGAGGCGGCUAGUUUGGGGUCCAUUUUCGUCAUUGGCUCAGUAUGAAUUUAGGCCCAAAGCUUUCCCGUCUCUGUCUUCAGUUUUCCUAUCUUUUCUAUUAGUUUCUCGAAGCAGACCGUGAUCUGUGGGGCUUGCUGGGGUGAAAAUCAGAGGUUCUUGUCCACCCUCACUCCUUCCAGCUGUCACAGCUUUUGGGAAAUGGCUGCAUCUCUCUGGGCGUUAGUUUCCACAUCUAUAAAAUCGGGAAAAACCAAUCCUCACCCCCUCUUAUCAUUUUGCAAUACUUCGGCGAAAUCACAGAAAGACGGGUUUAGGGGGCCGGACCCUUGUGAGGGGAAUUAAAGUUGAGAACGAGAACUAUCUAGAAACGUGGAAAGAAGAGGGUCGGGGCAAAGGCUAACGCGAAAAUUGGGGCUGGAGAAAGCAAAAGGAAACGAAGGCGAAGAAAAAUGAGGACGAAGGAGGGACGUUUUGCAGGGGGACGGCAGAGCCUGGGAGAGUGCGAGCGCUCAGGGAGACGGAGGGCCGCGGCGCCGGCGGAGCCAUUUGCGCAGCGCACCCAGGUUGCGUGCGGGGCCUCUUUGGCUGUGACACCCGCCGCGGGCUGCCAGCGCCCGAGCCGAACCGCUGCUCUGAGACCUAAGAUGGCGGCGCCGGCCGGCCGCGGGAGUCCUGCCGGCGCCCGGGGCGUGACGAGGCCGCCAGAGACGAACCUGCUAAGCCAAGCUCAGAAACUGGCCAGUGCGUGUGUCGUGUCUGACUUUUGCAGAUAUAUCCUAUGGAGUUAAAAGUACCAGUAUAUUAAAACACAUGAACAGGAUGCCUCUGCAGCUUUGUUUUUGUGACAAGGGGGCCUUUCUGUAUGUCUUAUGAAAUACUUAAGACAUAUAGACAUACAAAGAACAAGACAACGAACCUCUGUUCUCACCAACCAAACAUAAAAAACAAAACAUUACCAAUAUAAUUGAAGUCCUCUGUGUACCCCUCCGUCAUUGCAUCUCUCUUCCCUCGUCCCCAGAGAAAUCUCCAGAAAAUCCCUAGCGGGCAGGGUUUGGAGAGCUUCUGGGUUGGUGAACAUGUGGAGAUGUGGGCAGAGUGGUGCCUGGAGGGGGCCUGGCGGCUCCGUGCCCCUCCCCACGUACCUUGCCCUAUGCGUCCCUUCCAUCUGGCCGUUCCUGAGUUACAGCCUUUUAUGAUAAACAGUGACCCAUUAAUGGUGUCAGAAAUGGAAUCCAGCGAAGACCCAUCCAGUGACCGUGAGACCUGGGAGCGACCAGAUGUUGCUGAGCACAAAGCUUACCCUUUGGGCCGACCCCGGAGUGUGCGUGGCAGUCUCUCGGGAUCUGAUCUCUGCUCUGCCUGCCGAGCUCUCCAGCUUUAUGGUGUCCACUUGAUUUCAGUUCUGCUUUUGUUUAUUAGAGCUUCCGGCAAGUCACCUCCACCUGUCCUCGCCCAUUACUUGCAGCUGUGAAACCUACACAGCUGUUGGAAGACUGAAAAGUAAAUAACACCGAGUGGAAUGGGAAGCAGCGGUGACACGUGACGUUGUAUCCAUCCCCUCAAGACAAUCCCAAGCUGCCAGUAGAGGUCAUUAGGACAAGAAGAACACGGUGCCCAGAGGACCCUAAAUUCUGAGAUAGUGGAAGUUUCCAUUCCGAUCCGAGGAACUGCGGUCCUAAGAUGGCGAGGCCAACCCUCCGUGUUUUCGCUCUCAUUCCGCUACUUGGCUCCAGGGACCGUACUGAUCACCGAGGACCAAAAAUAGGAGUGCCAGUCUCUCCCUGCUCUCCUCCUGUGGGGGCCAGUUUCGGAUUACACCUGGGAAGCUCCUGGCCAGUUUGUAAACCAACAGUUGUUGAGUCAGCCAGGACACCAAAGAUGAGCUUCGGGAUAGAGGCAUCCGAAGGGAAAAAUGACACGUUGGCCAUCGAACUCUGUGCGGGGAGGAGUAGCGCAUACGUCAUGGUCGUGGGCCACCACCUCUUCCGUCGUGGAGAUCCGAGUUUCUGAUGCUCUUGCUUCUAGCUAAACAGUUUGUUCUACUGGUGACGAACUCCCCAAAUUUUUGCUUGUCAGUAAAAUUCGUUAUUUCUCCUGUACUUCAGGAGCAUAAUUUCACUGGAUCCAGAAUUCUAGUUGUGGAAGUUUCUAUUGGAAUUUCUUCAAGCCCGCUAAUUCUUUAAUGUCCACUGACUGGUGAACCCAUCAAAGACAUUCAUUUCUGAGACAGUAUUUCUGAUUCGCAUUUCCUUUCCAUUCAGUUUUAUGAUUCUGUCUCUGCUG